CCCAACAAAUCCCACUAUGAGCGAGCAUUUGGUGACAGUGGCAAGGAAAAACUUCCUUUUAACAGGCAGAAACCUUGGACAAAACCAGACUCAAUGGUGGGCGCCAUCUGCCGCUGCCGUGUUCCAGCCCAGCAGGCAACCAUCAACUUCACCCCGUCUACAGCCAGUCCUCCCAUUCGUCAUCCUAACCUUUAUCUCCCGUCCCUCUCCAGUUCCCACCAGUCUACGCCAACAGAUCAUAGACAUACACAGAUCUUCACAGAUCCUCUCCUCAUCAUGCCUUCCCUUCGUCAAUCACCUACCGACAGUUUCCUCGAAGGACACAAAGGGCCCCUCUAGAGUUCUCUUAUAGUCUAUUUCUUCAGAGACGUUGUUCACAAUUUCCCACCCGCCAGCAGGAAAUGGACAAUUACAUGGCCAUCAUCCUUAAUCUGGUCCUCCAUUUUGGAGGCAAUGGUUUCUACCAUAUCACAUACACUCUGCCUUUAACGCCGCAGCCCGUCUUCAGCAGGCCAAUGCCAGGGCACUCUUGACAAUUAAAUUACUGCCGCAUCCUCGCCACCCGAGCAGCCCUACCAUGCUCCACAUGGGGUACCCCUUCUCACCCAGCCUCUUCCUGCUCUGUUCCCACCCACACUAAGCCAAUUUCCUCCUCGCCCCAUACCUCGACAAAUGCUAACUUCUCUCUCCCCUAGGUCACCUCAACUUUGCUUACGUAUCAUUCUCCAAGGGCAAGCCUUAUCUCUCACUUACUAUCAAUUGCUUUCCAAUGUUAGUGAAUAAACUAACGCUAACUAAUUCCAUCUCCCUGGAUAUUCCAAGCUGUGCCGAACUCCAUGUUUGCUUCAAACUUCUCACCAAAUGGAAUGGGAUCGCCUUCUUCUACAGCGUACCACCGACUCAUCCACACGACAUCCAUCUGUACACUGACCCCGCUCCUUCUGUCGGGUUGGGGGGUUUCUUCAAUGGAAGAUGGUUUGCAGUAGAAUGGCCCCAGAGCUCGCAAGUGAAUGCCAGGUUGCUUCCUCUGCUCUCUUCGAAAUCUAUCCCAUAAUAGCUGCAGCUAUUCCGUGGGGCCACGAACGGUCCUGCAAAGCCCAUUCUCAUAUACUUUGACAAACUCACAGACAUAGACGUAAUCUACAUAAAAGUUUGCUCCAACAACCCAUCUAUCAUAACGUCCAUGCAUGCCAAACAUGACAUUCUGUUAACACACCUAUAUUUUCUCCACGCAGCUCAUGUUCCUGAUUCCAAUGCCAUUGCUGACUCUUUUCCGUUUACCAUUUCAGAAGUUCAGAGGCUCUGCCCCUCCGGAGAGGUACAAGAGUUCAAGCUUCACUCAUACUCUUUCGUUUUUGUCCAUGAAUCACGCAUCUGUUGUUGAUGUGGUCCUUGCUAGUGAAAUAAGCUCUGAGGAGUUUUCCCCCAAACAUCCUGUCUUCACAUUCUUCCGGGUCAUUAAACUGACCCGCCAGUACUUAGCGAGGAUGCCAGUAAAAGUUAAGUGACAAUAGGAAAAUUUAUGACCCUCACUAAUCCACCCUCAGGAUGAUAUCUGGGCUUCAUCAAUAAUCCAUACUGGGAACAAGGAACAAAACAAACCAACUUUACAAUUCAAAUGUACAUUAAUUGAUAUACCAUGUUUAAUUAAUGUUCAGAAAGAUGGAAAUUGGAAUAUCAAAUCUCACACCCCAUGUGUGCCUGUUCUGGCCUGCCUGUUCCGCCCUCCUCUUUUCAUCCCCCUCAGAGGAGGAGACAGACAGGGAAUGCACAUUCCUUUUCCUAAUACAAGAAAUACUUUACUAUUUUGUUUGCUGUUAUAGAUGUGUGUGUGUGUGUGUGUGUGUGUGUGUAAACUUUAUUAUGUCUUUAGGAAAGAAAUUGGAUCAGAAUAGAUCUGGGGUGGGUGGAGUAAAGUUUUGAGUCACUGACGUCAGACACCGCCCCCCUGGACAGCAGACUACAAAGCCCAAACGUCUUCCUAUUCUCUCUUCUCUUGCCUUCUGCCCUUUCCUUCAUGUGUCUCCUGCAGAUCUGCAGUCCACGCUUCUCUUCAGACCUGGGUGGGCCCGGAGAAUCAACUGAAUCCAGAGCCGCACAGAACAUGCAAGGCCGACAUCCAGCAUUCUAACAUGACAAAAGUUAGAAAAGUCAGAACUGUGACAAACUCUGGCUACCCUGGCUAUCUGAACCACCAGGCGCCAGAUGUGCAACUGGAAUACAUGAACUGCUACAGAACAUGACACGGACUGAAAGAGAAUGAGCAAAACCAAACAAGGACAGUAAAAGCCAAGAAAACAACCAAAACGUGUCCAGAGGAAACAGGAAUCCAUCUAUG